CCCACAGUAGCUCAGUCUGGUAGAGCGCUAGUAAAUGAAUAGUCUUCCGACUUUUUUCCCUGCAAAGGUGACGCAGGAAUGACUUACUUCGAUAAUGGUGACUGGAUGUCGUAGGUUCAAAUCCUGCCUGUGGGA
rnacentral:tRNA from 1 species